ACGAACGCUGGCGGCGUGCCUAAUACAUGCAAGUAGAACGCUGAAGAGAGGAGCUUGCUCUUCUUGGAUGAGUUGCGAACGGGUGAGUAACGCGUAGGUAACCUGCCUUGUAGCGGGGGAUAACUAUUGGAAACGAUAGCUAAUACCGCAUAACAAUGGAUGACACAUGUCAUUUAUUUGAAAGGGGCGAUUGCUCCACUACAAGAUGGACCUGCGUUGUAUUAGCUAGUAGGUGAGGUAACGGCUCACCUAGGCGACGAUACAUAGCCGACCUGAGAGGGUGAUCGGCCACACUGGGACUGAGACACGGCCCAGACUCCUACGGGAGGCAGCAGUAGGGAAUCUUCGGCAAUGGGGGCAACCCUGACCGAGCAACGCCGCGUGAGUGAAGAAGGUUUUCGGAUCGUAAAGCUCUGUUGUAAGUCAAGAACGAGUGUGAGAGUGGAAAGUUCACACUGUGACGGUAGCUUACCAGAAAGGGACGGCUAACUACGUGCCAGCAGCCGCGGUAAUACGUAGGUCCCGA
rnacentral:rRNA from 1 species